rnacentral:rRNA from 1 species
GAUGAACGCUGGCGGCGUGCCUAAUACAUGCAAGUCGAGCGAACGGACGAGAAGCUUGCUUCUCUGAUGUUAGCGGCGGACGGGUGAGUAACACGUGGAUAACCUACCUAUAAGACUGGGAUAACUUCGGGAAACCGGAGCUAAUACCGGAUGAUAUUUUGAACCGCAUGGUUCAAAAGCGAAAGACGGUCUUGCUGUCACUUAUAGAUGGAUCCGCGCUGCAUUAGCUAGUUGGUAAGGUAACGGCUUACCAAGGCAACGAUGCAUAGCCGACCUGAGAGGGUGAUCGGCCACACUGGAACUGAGACACGGUCCAGACUCCUACGGGAGGCAGCAGUAGGGAAUCUUCCGCAAUGGGCGAAAGCCUGACGGAGCAACGCCGCGUGAGUGAUGAAGGUCUUCGGAUCGUAAAACUCUGUUAUUAGGGAAGAACAUAUGUGUAAGUAACUGUGCACAUCUUGACGGUACCUAAUCAGAAAGCCACGGCUAACUACGUG